UUAUUUAAUUCGAUAAUCCGCAAGGGUCAUUUGAUGAAAAUAAUCCUAUUACCUUACUAUGAGUGUCGUCCAAAUCUGGUGCCAGAAGACUCGGUAAGACCAGAGACGCAAACGUUAAUCAUCUUAAACAGGCGUAAAGGGUUUGUAGGCAGCUUUCACUUUAAAAUAUAUUUUAUUAUUUUAAUCAAUAAUGGGAGCUAGAAUCAAAAAGAGGUUAUAGUGUAUAACGCCUAGAGGAGGGCUGAUAUCCUUAGAUCCUAGGUAGAAUACUCAGGGCGAAGGCCACUCUCCACAAAUGAUUGACGCUGAGAAACGAAGGUUAGGGUAGGAAAUAGGAUUAGAUACCCCGGUACUCCUUUCUGUAAACGAUGAAUGGUAGUCAUUAGUAACUGUAAAAGUAAAAAUAUCUUUUUACAAAAUUUACUAGAGGCGAAGUUAACACAAUAACCAUUCCGCCUUGUGAGUACUACUGCAAAGUAGAAAACAAAAAAAUUAGUCGGUCUCGAAGCAAACGGAGUGAAGCAUGUUAUUUA
rnacentral:rRNA from 1 species